CAUUUCUUCUGCUUAAAAAUAUCUUUAUGUAGAUGUUACUUUUUUACAUAAAUUUAACUCUGUCUUUCCUUGAAUGCAUCUAAACAUUUUUGCUUCUCAUUGUUGUGUCUACUCAUAGGUAUAAAAGAAGUUAUUUUUAUGUCUGACAAAUAUCACGAUACUGUGGAGAUGACAGCUGCACGGCGCUUGUUUGAUUUAGCUGGAAUUAUAUACAGGAAAUUCAAACCUAAGUGCAGUAAGAUAGUCAUUGAUUUUGAUUCAAUUAACAGCAGACCGUGUCAAAAGCCUCUGUGAGUUACAUCUAAUUAAAUCUCUAGAAGAUUGUGAUGAUCCUUUUCUUAGAAGCUGCUAAUGCCUUUCAUCUUGAAGUUUGGCAUAACUUUUUAAUAGCCCACUACAGUUGUAAGUAGACAUCUAAGGAAUAUGUCAGGCCCAGAAAAUUUUGUCCUCCUUGCCAUAUGUUUUAAGCUUUGACUUCCUGGAGUUUUCCAAAUCUUUUCUAAAUGGAACCUAUAGGUGAGGUCUGGACUUGUGUAUGAACAAUAGGAAAGGUGUAUUCACUGUGCCAACAUCUGAUGUGAAUGAAGAGAACCAAAGUCACAAGCAAUAACCUUUGAAUAUUGGCUCGAUCAAGAAAGCUGCUGGAUAGCUUGUAUGGUGACAUGUAAACUGUAGGAAUGCAUCUACCAGCCUAGCAGGUAUGCAUAAAACACAAACUAUUGAAAAUGUCAUUUUUCAAGCAAUAUGGCUAGAUGUCUCUAUAACAGUCAAAAUAUUGUGUUGUGUGAAAUCCAUACUGGUACAUUACACCUUGAUAUUUUACCAGAUGUUCAUCUCUUUAAUUGCUUCUCCUGUUGCAGUGUAGCGUGUGAGCAUGUGUUCAAUUAUGUUUGAAGAAUGUUUUGUAUUGGAUGUAGUUUCAGAGUAGCUUUAAUUCCUUUCCCCCAAGAUACCUUCCAUUUAGCAGAGGAUAAGUGCAUAAAUCAUUAGGCUUUCACCUAUGGGACUCUGUUUGGAACUGAUUUAAUGUCUAAAAGGAGACACAUUUAUUGGUCUAAAUCUCUACUAGACAAUCCAGCACAUUACAAUUCUGGGAUCAGCCUCUAAGGUAACUUAAUCACUGCUUUCCCUCUAAGGGAAAUGAGGAGAUUCAGUCCGCACUGAGGUUGAACAUGCCAAAUGUCAUAAUUAUGGUUUUAGCUUGCUUUUAGUUGUUAAAAACUGGCCCUGUGCCAUAAGUUCUGGAAACACAGGCUAAAACUAUCAAGGGCUUUCAAUAUCUCCCUUUCUAUUUGAUUUUGGGAGGGAAUGCCUAAUUGUGCAUGUUUAGAAAAUGUUUCCAACCCCAAAGGUAUUCAUGUUUUUUAAACAUUGUGAUGUUUUCCUGGACUCUUAUUUUCUAUGUUGAAACCAUUCUGUAGAUUAAGACAUUGUGUAAUUUGGCUUGCCACCAGUAUUAUUAAAGUCUUAUUAAAAUCCUA